AGCUCCAAUAGCGUAUAUUAAAGUUGUUGCAGUUAAAAAGCUCGUAGUUGGAUUUCGGGAUGGGCCGGCCGGUCCGCCGCAAGGCGUGUUACUGACCGGGCUGUUCUUCUUCGCAAAGACUGCAUGUGCUCUUAACUGAGUGUGUGUAGGACUUGUGACGUUUACUUUGAAAAAAUUAGAGUGUUCAAAGCAGGCCAGCGCUUGAAUACAUAAGCAUGGAAUAAUGAAAUAGGACUUCGGUGCACUAUUUCGUUGGUUCUACUGUCCGAAGUAAUGAUUAAGAGGGACAGUUGGGGGCAUCCGUAUUUCGUAGUCAGAGGUGAAAUUCUUGGAUCUGCGAAAGACGAACUAGUGCGAAAGCAUUUGCCAAGAGUGUUUUCAUUAAUCAAGAACGAAAGUA
rnacentral:rRNA from 1 species